GAGUUUGAUCAUGGCUCAGGAUGAACGUUGGCGGCGUGCCUAACACAUGCAAGUCGAACGCAUGGCUUCGGCCAUGAGUGGCGCACGGGUGAGUAACACGUGGUUGACCUACCCUCAAGUAAGGGAUAACGGUCCGAAAGGACUGCUAAUACCUUAUAAGCUUCCGGUGUUUAGAAGACUGGAAGAAAAGUUCCGGCGCUUGAGGAGGGGACUGCGAGCCAUCAGCUAGUUGGUGCGGUAACGGCGUACCAAGGCGACGACGGCUAGGGGGCCUGAGAGGGUGACCCCCCACACUGGAACUGAGACACGGUCCAGACUCCUACGGGAGGCAGCAGUGAGGAAUAUUGCACAAUGGGCGCAAGCCUGAUGCAGCGACGCCGCGUGAGUGAUGAAGGCCUUGGGUCGUAAAGCUCUUUUCUAGGUGACGAGGAAGGACGGUAGCCUAGGAA
rnacentral:rRNA from 1 species